rnacentral:rRNA from 1 species
UACGUAGGUGGCGAGCGUUGUCCGGAAUUACUGGGUGUAAAGGGCGUGUAGGCGGUUAUGUAAGUCGGAUGUGAAAUUCCAUGGCUCAACUGUGGGACUGCAUCUGAAACUAUGUAUCUUGAGUGCUGGAGAGGGAAGCGGAAUUCCCAGUGUAGCGGUGAAAUGCGUAGAUAUUGGGAGGAACACCAGUGGCGAAGGCGGCUUUCUGGACAGCAACUGACGCUGAGGCGCGAAAGCGUGGGGAGCAAACAGGAUUAGAUACCCUGGUAGUCCACGCUGUAAACGAUGGAUACUAGGUGUAGGAGGUAUCGACCCCUUCUGUGCCGCAGUUAACACAAUAAGUAUCCCACCUGGGGAGUACGGCCGCAAGGUUG